UACGUAGGGGGCUAGCGUUGUCCGGAAUCAUUGGGCGUAAAGCGCGCGUAGGCGGCCAGAUAAGUCCGGUGUGAAAGUCACAGGCUCAACCUGUGAAUGCCGCUGGAAACUGUCUGGCUAGAGUCCGGAAGAGGCGAGUGGAAUUCCUGGUGUAGCGGUGGAAUGCGCAGAUAUCAGGAGGAACACCAAUAGCGAAGGCAGCUCGCUGGGACGUUACUGACACUGAGGCGCGAAAGCGUGGGGAGCGAACAGG
rnacentral:rRNA from 1 species